AGACGAUUGAUUUAUGAGACUUGGACGUUCAGUUUACUUUCUCCCCCCUUUGGUCAUCAGGGUAAAUGGUCCUCCGAACUGGCCCAUAUAAUUCCACCUAGAGCUAUACAUAGAAGGUUCGAUUCAUGAAUAUCGAGUCAAAUCAACUUGAGGCCUUGAAGGGUUGUCAUAGAAUCAACUGCCAAGGAACGACUUUCCCGAACAUUACAACUUGUAGAACUUUCGUAGUACUAGCAUAUUCGUGAUACUCUAAAUGAAAUUUUUAACAACAGACCGACGACCUAAGAAAAGGUGUCUCUCUCUCCGAUCUACUAAGAAACUCGAACGCUUUCAAAUCAACACCUAAAUAUAGUGAAACAUUCGGAUUUUUGUUUUAUUAAAAACAUAUAAAUACGAACCCCCACCAGGCGUGGGAGUCCCGAAAAACAUUUUCGAAAUUUCCACACAGAAAAUCUUCCAGUCACUCCGCGGCUACUCCCGUGUUCGCUUCGGUUCGUUAGUUCAGUUACGAGUGCGCACCCACUCUUCUAGUAAUUCAGUAAUUGUGUGUUAGAAAGAGACAAAUAUGCUCUUCAGUAACCGAAAUCGAAAUAGGCCGCAGCGUCUCUUCUCGCCCUUUAUCAAAAUAAGACCAAGAUUU